rnacentral:rRNA from 1 species
UACGUAGGGCGCAAGCGUUAUCCGGAAUUAUUGGGCGUAAAGAGCUCGUAGGCGGUUUGUCGCGUCUGCCGUGAAAGUCCGGGGCUUAACCCCGGAUCUGCGGUGGGUACGGGCAGACUAGAGUGCAGUAGGGGAGACUGGAAUUCCUGGUGUAGCGGUGAAAUGCGCAGAUAUCAGGAGGAACACCGAUGGCGAAGGCAGGUCUCUGGGCUGUAACUGACGCUGAGGAGCGAAAGCAUGGGGAGC